CUUUACAUUAUGUGAAAGACCCCCGGAGGGAGACCCUCACUCAAGCCUCGGGACAGCCGCGGACCCAAGAAGACACUGAGACCG
rnacentral:pre_miRNA from 7 species